rnacentral:misc_RNA from 1 species
UUAAUCUCAAACCUCGGGUCUUUUUAACUAGAGACCUGUCCGGUUUGGACUUGGAGGUUACUGCUGGCUCCCUUCUGUGGUCGGCUCCUCUGAAAUGCAUUAGCUGGACUUUGGUUCGCAUCUACGGUGUAAUAGUAACUUGUAUUCGCCGGGUGCUUGCCUAGGGAGUCCGCUUCUAAUCGCCCCCUCGGGCAAGGUCUCCUUUUGUGACCUUCUUGAACA